rnacentral:rRNA from 1 species
GACGAACGCUGGCGGCGUGCCUAAUACAUGCAAGUAGAACGCACAGUUUAUACCGUAGCUUGCUACACCAUAGACUGUGAGUUGCGAACGGGUGAGUAACGCGUAGGUAACCUGCCUGGUAGCGGGGGAUAACUAUUGGAAACGAUAGCUAAUACCGCAUAAUAUUAAUUAUUGCAUGAUAAUUAAUUGAAAGGUGCAAUUGCACCACUACCAGAUGGACCUGCGUUGUAUUAGCUAGUAGGUGAGGUAACGGCUCACCUAGGCGAAGAUACAUAGCCGAACCGGAGAGGUGGACCGCCAACAUGGGAACGGAGCAACGGCCAGGCUCCUAAGGGGGGGAGCAGGAGGGAAUCUUUGGAAAUGGGCGGAAGGCUUAACGAGCAAAGCCGGGGGGGGGAAGGAGGGUUUCGGAUCGGAAAGCUCUGUUGUAAGGGGAGAAAGGGUGUGAGAGUGGAAAGUUCACACUGUGACGGUACCUUACCAGAAAGGGACGGCUAACUACGUG